rnacentral:lncRNA from 1 species
GGAAAUAUAUGCAAAUUGAAAUUGCAUAGUACUUUUUAUAUUAUUAAUCUAUAUAUGAAUUUCUUCAUCUUCUUUUUUUUUUUAUAAAAAAGAAAGAAAGAAAAUAAUUAGCAAUCCCAAUUACACCAACAAAUCUGAGUCGGCAAAGCGGGCUCGAGAGAACGGCACCAUGCCUUUGCGUUGGGACCGUGGCGUUCUUGGCAAGCGUCCCAACAACUCUGUGCUGCCCUGUCACCUAAGCAAACCAGAUCCACCCAUGGAAGCCCUUCUUGACAUGUUUUUGCAUCCAUUAAUGGAAUAUUACUCAUAAUUACCACUGCCAUAAAACAAUAUUAACAUCUAAUUAAUAAUUAAUAAAGCAAGCAAUAAAAAUUAAAAAAAAAAAUGCUAUUUCAUAGUUACCUGACAACAGAAGAAAGCAACGAAUAGCUACAGAAAAUGUGGCUUUU